rnacentral:rRNA from 1 species
GAUGAACGCUGGCGGCGUGCCUAAUACAUGCAAGUCGAGCGAACAGACGAGGAGCUUGCUCCUCUGACGUUAGCGGCGGACGGGUGAGUAACACGUGGAUAACCUACCUAUAAGACUGGGAUAACUUCGGGAAACCGGAGCUAAUACCGGAUAACAUGUUGAACCGCAUGGUUCAACAGUGAAAGACGGUCUUGCUGUCACUUAUAGAUGGAUCCGCGCCGCAUUAGCUAGUUGGUAAGGUAACGGCUUACCAAGGCAACGAUGCGUAGCCGACCUGAGAGGGUGACCGGCCACACUGGAACUGAGACACGGGCCAGACUCCUACGGGAGGCAGCAGUAGGGAAUCUUCCGAAAUGGGCGAAAGCCUGACGGAGCAACGCCGCGUGAGUGAAGAAGGUCUUCGGAUCGUAAAACUCUGUUAUUAGGGAAGAACAAAUGUGUAAGUAACUAUGCACGUCUUGACGGUACCUAAUCAGAAAGCCACGGCUAACUACGUG